rnacentral:rRNA from 1 species
UACGGAGGAUGCAAGCGUUAUCCGGAAUCACUGGGCUUAAAGCGUGUGUAGGCGGAUCGUUAAGUGCCUUGUGAAAUCCCACGGCUCACCCGUGGAACUGCUGGGCAUACUGGCGGUCUUGAGCCACCUAGGGGCAACCGGAACAAACGGUGGAGCGGUGAAAUGCGUAGAUAUCGUUUGGAACGCCAAUGGUGAAAACAGGUUGCUGGGGGUGUGCUGACGCUGAGACACGAAAGCCAGGGGAGCAAACGGG